CCAUGCAUGUGUAAGUACUUGCCGAUUUUGAAGGCGAAACCGCGAAUGGCUCAUUAAAUCAGUUAUGGUUCCUUAGAUCGUAGCCUUAUCACAUGGAUAACUGUGGUAAUUCUAGAGCUAAUACAUGCACGCAUGCUCCGACGCCGUUUGUAGCGGGGAAAGAGCAGCGUUUUAUUAGACCAAAACCAAUCGGGUUUCCCUCACGGGUUCCCGGCAAAUUUGUGGUGACUCUGGAUAACUUUUGGCCGAUCGCACGGUCUUUGCACCGGCGACGUGUCUUUCAAAUGUCUGCCUUAUCAACUGUCGAUGGUAGGUUAUGCGCCUACCAUGGUCGUAACGGGUAACGGGGAAUCAGGGUUCGAUUCCGGAGAGGGAGCCUGAGAAACGGCUACCACAUCCAAGGAAGGCAGCAGGCACGCAAAUUACCCACUCCCGGCACGGGGAGGUAGUGACGAAAAAUAACAAUACGGGACUCUUUCGAGGCCCCGUAAUUGGAAUGAGUACACUUUAAAUCCUUUAACGAGGAUCUAUUGGAGGGCAAGUCUGGUGCCAGCAGCCGCGGUAAUUCCAGCUCCAAUAGCGUAUAUUAAAGUUGUUGCGGUUAAAAAGCUCGUAGUUGGAUUUCUGUUCCAGACUGACGGUCCGCCGAAUCGGUCGCGACUGUCAGGCCUGAACAUCCCGUCGGUUUUUCACUUUCCCGCGGUGCUCUUUACUGAAGUGUCGCGGGAGGCCGACAAGUUUACUUUGAAAAAAUUAGAGUGCUCAAAGCAGGCGGUCAGCCUGAAUAAUGGUGCAUGGAAUGAUGGAAUAGGACCUCGGUUCUGUUUUGUUGGUUUUCGCAAUCGAGGUAAUGAUUAAGAGGGACAGACGGGGGCAUUCGUAUUGCGACGCUAGAGGUGAAAUUCUUGGACCGUCGCAAGACGAACUAUUGCGAAAGCAUUUGCCAAGAAUGUUUUCAUUAAUCAAGAACGAAAGUUAGAGGUUCGAAGGCGAUCAGAUACCGCCCUAGUUCUAACCAUAAACGAUGCCAACCAGCGAUCCGGGAGUUCCUUACAUGACUCGGCGGGCAGCUUCCGGGAAACCAAAGUCUUUGGGUUCCGGGGGAAGUAUGGUUGCAAAGCUGAAACUUAAAGGAAUUGACGGAAGGGCACCACCAGGAGUGGAGCCUGCGGCUUAAUUUGACUCAACACGGGAAAACUCACCCGGCCCGGACACCGGAAGGAUUGACAGAUUGAUAGCUCUUUCUUGAUUCGGUGGGUGGUGGUGCAUGGCCGUUCUUAGUUGGUGGAGCGAUUUGUCUGGUUAAUUCCGAUAACGAACGAGACUCUGGCCUGCUAAAUAGGAGACUGAUUCCGAAGUCAGUCGGCACUUCUUAGAGGGACAGGCGGUCUUUAUCCGCACGAGAUAGAGCAAUAACAGGUCUGUGAUGCCCUUAGAUGUCCGGGGCCGCACGCGCGCUACACUGAAGGAAUCAGCGUGUGCUUGUCCCUGUCUGAAAAGACUGGGUAACCCGUUGAACCUCCUUCGUGAUGGGGAUAGGGGCUUGUAAUUGUUCCCCUUGAACGAGGAAUUCCCAGUAAGCGCGAGUCAUAAGCUCGUGUUGAUUACGUCCCUGCCCUUUGUACACACCGCCCGUCGCUACUACCGAUUGAAUGAUUUAGUGAGGUCUUCGGACUUGCCGCCGUAACCGUCGACUCCGGUCGCGUAACGGAUGGCGGGAAAGAUGACCAAACUUGAUCAUUUAGAGGAAGUAAAAGUCGUAACAAGGUUUCC
rnacentral:rRNA from 1 species